GAUGAAGAACGCAGCGAAAUGCGAUACGUAAUGUGAAUUGCAAAUUCAGUGAAUCAUCGAGUCUUUGAACGCACAUUGCGCCCCCUGGUAUUCCGGGGGGCAUGCCUGUCGAGCGUCAUUGCUGCCCUCAAGCACGGCUUGUGUGUUGGGCCCCGUCCUCCGAUCCCGGGGGACGGGCCCGAAAGGCAGCGGCGGCACCGCGUCCGGUCCUCGAGCGUAUGGGGCUUUGUCACCCGCUCUGUAGGCCCGGCCGGCGCUUGCCGAUCAACCCAAAUUUUUAUCCAGGUUGACCUCGGAUCAGGUAGGGAUACCCGCUGAACUUAAGCAUAUCAAUAGCGGAGGA
rnacentral:misc_RNA from 1 species